rnacentral:tRNA from 1 species
GAAGAUAUAGCUCAGUGGUAGAGUGCAUGCUUAGCAUGCAUGAGGUCCUGGGUUCAAUCCCUAGUACCUCUG